UGAACCUCCAGCACACACAGGUUCUCUCAGCACGCCUGUAAAGAUGGCAUCCUCACAUCUCUCAGAGAGGCCAGAACACAACUUUCUAACAGGCCUGACGAUGACGAGAAGAAGAAGUAGAAAGUCCAGCAGCAGAGUCUCACCUGAGACCGAAGACAGCGUCCCGACAUCACGUCCCCGAGGAACUGACAGCUGAUGAGAGCUCCAAACAGUCAAACAUCCAUCAGUCGUAUACAGCAGGAUGAAGGGGUUGCUAUUACGACAACGAUGCCUCUCCGACCCCGGUGCCAUUCCUCUGACUCCUCUCGACCACACUAAUCUCCUGAAGGAUGAACCUGGUAAACCAGAGAGCAGAGCACUGAUGCUUUUCUCACCAGCAGGUGAGAUCUUGAUCUUUAAUCAGAUUACUGGAAGGUGGACCUGAGAAGUCUGGAGACGCAGGAAAUCUGUGACUGUAGUUGAAGAGCUAUUUGUAUUAAAGUACAAGUAAACCUCUUAUUACAGACAGGAAUAGAACGAGGAGGAGGUAAUUUACUAAUCGUAAACGUUCACGUUGUUGUUGGCUUCUCAUCAUCUCUCAGACAACAACAACAAGAUAGUAGAUAAAUCAGAUAAACAUAUUAAUAUAUGAAAAUAUCCUGAUAAACUGUGUGAAAAUGGAACAAAUGAAAGGUGAUAAAUCAGCAGCUGCAGCAGAGAAGAAGCUGCAGGUCUGUUUACCUGUCUGUCUUAAAAGCUUAGCCUUAUUGUACAUCGACUCAGUAAGUAAAAGGUUGUCUCUACCUUUAAUUAAUCACUGAUUUAAUGCACCACCCGGCUAAUACGUUAAGUGACCCAAAACAAACACACCCAUGAUGACCAACAGGUGAAUACAAUAUGCUAAAUGCUGAAAUGCUCCCAGUGGAUCCUCAAGAAUGAUUUCAGGCUGAGUGGUGUACUGGUUAUAUAUUAUUCUUUGAGAAUGAUCACGUAAAGAAGUUGAACCUGGAGCAGAUUAAAGAGGAAGACGUCAGGCAGAUGGGUGAAGUUGGGUGUCAUCUUGAUAUGACGUUGAAUAUAAGAUAAGAUAGACCUUUAUUAAUCCAGAGGGAAAUUGUUGUGCUGCGGUUGCAGUACAAAGAAGAAAAGAGUGCAAAUAAAGCAAAACAAUAAAGAUAGAAUAGAAAGCUUUAUUGUCAUUGUAUUAAAUACAACGAGAUUCAUAG